rnacentral:lncRNA from 1 species
GUUGUAGUAUUUUAGUGCAUUGUUCUAUGUUGUUAAAGUGUAGUUAAGCUUGGAUGCGUUUUAAUUUCAAUGGCUAGCUACCAUUUAAAAGGUUACUAUUUUGCUGGGGACAGUUGCUCAACAUUAAUAAAUUUUUUUUAUCUUUAUUUUCUUUCGUUACCAAUGUCCAGUCUUGUUAGAGGAAUGUAUUAAAAAUCACAUGUUAGUCUAAAUUGAUUAACGAUGUAAUAUGUAGUUAUUGCUAUGAGGAGAAAUUUCAUUCCUUAUGCAAUUAAUAUUUAAUUUUGAUAACUGUUAAGCAGGAUGUUGGUGAAGACUUAGGCAUCAUUUCAAGAGAACUUAUUCUGUAAGCAUGUUUUCUGUCCUUGAAGUUGUAACUCAUGGUGCAUAAUUUGUGGCAAGCUUACUACAUGUCACCUACAAGGUUGUCAGAAGGCUUCUGAAGAGAAAUUUUUUUCUCUGGGGUGAAUUCACUAAGAUUGGCUGCCAUCAUGUCAUGGGCAAUCAUUUUUUGACUGUAGUAAGAGCUACUGUGGGUUGCCUCAUUUCAGUGUAGUUUAUAGUAUGGAUGACUGGAUGAUAUGUUUGCAGUGAAACAGAACUUUGCUGCUGAUUUGAGGGUUAAUCCUCCAUUGCACAUGCAUGCUGUAUCAUGUACUUCCUAAUUGGCAAUUUUUGGUUGUGGCAUGAUAUUCAAAUGAAAGAUGUUUCAAGAAACAUUAAACCAAUGCUUCAUAAUCAGGCAGCCUGUUGCCAUGCUGUGGGAUGUUAGCUGAACCUCCUUCAAUGUGAAGGUUACUGUUUAACACUUUCAGAUUUUUCAAUGUGUUUAUUUAGGUAGUCAUUUGUUGAGGGUGAAAUUUGCAUUACUUCAGUGAUUUUGACAUGUUGCAGUGGAUGGCUAGGUUGCAUUGAGCCAAAACUCAUGAUGCUGAUUUGAGGGUUAAUUGAUCAUGCAAGCUGUUUCAUGUGGUUCUUAAUCAGAAAUUCUUGGUUUUGGUAUGAUAUUCAAGUAAACAAGGAGUCUAUUAUGCUGUUUGCCAUUAGCCGAUCCUGUUACAUGUUAAAGGUGUUUGGAGCCAUCUCUAAGUGAAGUUUUCUUUUCAAUUUGGUGAACUGGGGAACAACAUGCUGUACCUGGAAUGAAUCAAUCCCCUGAAACACUCCUAAUACAACCAGAAAAAUGCUAUAAACUGUGAAAGAGGAACAGAAAUUAUUCCUGUUUCUUUGUUGUCCUUAAACUUAUAUUUCUCCAUGUUCAAAUAUUUACAACAACAAAAAUGUUGGUAUUGUUUCUUUGUUUUCUGUGGUCAUGUUUCUUCAUGAUUUGUGAUAAACCAGUUGUGCUUAUGUUUUGGAUUUAACAUACUGAUAAUUGUUAAAUCUUCAAUAAAAAAUAUUGAAAAAUAA